ensembl:lncRNA
CACAGAACAGUUUUGCACUUUUCCAUUAGUCCAUUUUAAAUGAGAGAAGAUGGUGACAUUGAUCGAUCACGUUCAUAUAUGGCUUCUUCUUUGCAUAACCUGUAUGGCACAGUGAACUAUGUUCACAUACGGUGAUUCCUAGAAGUGUCCAAGCCCACGUAGUGAUUGCCUUGACAGAAUUAUGUCUUCUUUUUUAUUUAAUGAACUGCUCCCUGAGGGCCCGACUAUCACAGGCAUGUAGAUGAUGAGAUGUUUUACGUCUUUACAGUUUUGCUCCAGCUGUUUCUUUUUAGUGUUACUUACUUUUCCAGACUUUUCUUCAUCCGUCCCAGUUUCUUUUGAGAUCUGUUGCUGCCAUUAAAUUUAAAAAUCAGAUUUUAACAGUUUUUCAUCAAAUAGUAAAAUGUGUCAGUUUAAAUAUUUGAUAUGUUUUUCUUUGAUCUGUUGUGAAUAAAAUCAUUUGCAUUCUGUUUUUAUUUACAUUUAUUUACAUUCAGAGUCCCAAAGUUCUCAGAUCUGCAGUUGUGUUUAACUAUAUCUAAAGAUGACAUUACUGUUCUAUUGUGACCUGUAGUGUCUUUGUCUCUAUUUCAGCCGGGCAUUGACGGGGAGAUGCCCUAUACUACUACAGGUCUCACUGGAGCAGGAAAGCUGCGAGUCUUAAGGGAAUGACGAGGCCCAGUCAAGUGGGCAUGCAGUGACAUUUCUGCAGCAUUUUAUUGCCCUUUACAUUUCCCCAUCAGUCAGCGCUGGCCUUUGAAUGUACAGAACUGAGGUUGAGUUGGGACACUUCUUACUUUUGUUUUAAGGUUCAUACUCUGACCUUACUGGAGUUCUUUUUUUGAGAGCCCUCGCCAUAUCUUGGAACCUUAUCUUGUAUGUUUGUUUGAUGCUGUGAAGGCGCUUAGGUGUUUUCACUCACAUGGACAGUGUCAUGGUUCUGGGUCCGUUGGACCCAGUAUUUUGAGUUUAUUAUGUCAUGGUUUGUUCUCAUAUUCUCUUGUAGUGCUGUUAAUGAUUAUGAUGAUGAUUAUUACUUCUGGUUUAGGUUUUGUUAUCUCGCCCUCAUGUUUAGUUCAGGUUCCAUGUGUUUUAUUCUCUGUCUUUCAGUGUCCUGUCUGCAUCCUCGUGUAGUGAUCUCUUGUUUCCUGUUUUAUUGUGAAGGUCUGCGUCUCAUGUGAAUGUGUUCGGUUUUACCUUUUGUCUCGUCUUGUUAAUUACUCCCAGCUGUGUCCACCACCUGUGUGUAAUCUCCCUGUGUUUCUCUGUGUGUAUUUAAGUCGCGUCUUCUGUCUUUGUAGUUGCUGCUUCGUCUGUGUUGCUCCCCUCCAUCUUCCUGUGAUUCUCCCUCCGUCGUCCUGUGUGGUUUUCCCUGUUUUCUCUUCGUCUCCGCGCAUCUCGGUUUCUUAUCUCAAGGUUUCAGGUUUGUUUUCCUUAGUUGUUCCCAGUUUAGGUUUUCUUAGUUUUGCUCACCCUCGCCAUCUCUGUUUGUAUUCACAUUGCUAAAUAAACUCACCUGCACCAGAGCUGCCGCAUUUUGGGUCCUAAUAUAUUCUCACACGGCUUGCCCCGGCAACCCGUGACAGUCAGUAAAAUAACACGACACAUUAUAGUCAAAGCUUUUGUUUGAUGCUUCUUUUUCUUCUUUUUUCAUUUUUUGUAGAUGACAGGGGAUUUCUAAGAAUCUCCCCACAGUUCUUCAGCUGAGACACCCGAGUUAGAAAACACAAACACUGCAGUUUUUCACUCGCGAGGGCAGUCAUGGAACGCAAGACUUGCGCCCCAUCACUGUCUGCGUUCUUUAUUUAUACUUGUCUGUGUGUCUGUGACAUUCCCUCCUGUAGAUCAGAAAAUGAAAUGUACAUGUUAUCAGUAAGUAACUACUUGUCUUUCACAUUUUCAGUAGUGAUGGGAUUUCUGGCUCUUUUUAGAGAACCGGCUCUUCAGGUUGUUUUGUUGCUCUAAUUAAUUUAUUAUUACAAUAAUAUAAAAUUAUGCACAAAAGGAAUUACUAAUGUAACAAAAAGGUGGUUUUAUUUAUAUAUGUUUAUAUAUAAAUAUAUACAGUGGCCCCUAGAGACACGUACAAACUCUAAAACACAUUUCUAGCGUUAACUGAACUUCCAAAACAGAGCUACCUAGAUCACUUAAAUUACACAAUUGAAAGCAUGUGUGUAUUGUUUGUGUAUUUAUACACAAGCACUCAUAUAUAUUCAAAUAAUUUAAAAAAAAAAAAAAAAAAAAAAGUUCAUUUACCUCUUACUACCACACACCGGUCGUUGGUACUUGCUGGCUUGUGUAGCCUCUAGGUAACAAAGCUCAACACUGUGCCUAGCAUUCUGGAGCACUUCUGUUGUCUUUUGUACAUGUUUUGGAAUUUUUACGUGCUUCUGAGGCUACAUCCACACGUACACGGGUAUUUUUGAAAACAGAGAUUUUCCGUUUUCGUUUUAAAAAAUAAUCCCAUCCACAUGUAAAUGCAGAAAUGAAGGAAAACGCUGCUAGGAGCAUGCCAAAGCAACAGGUGCUGAUAUAUUCCUAAACGUGUAGAAAUAUUGGCCAAUCAGAAGUCUAGAAGCCUCGGUGGGAAAUAGUAAACAAAGAUGGGGCGUAGAAGCAGAACCGAGUCGUAUGUGUGGAGGGACAGUAACUGUGUGUGUAUAUGUAAGCAUUUAAACACUGCAGAGUACAAUUAACAGUAUUGUAGAAAUUCAUUUCACCGAAACAAAACGUGGCGCACAGUUUGACAUAAAAAAAAAAAAAGGCGCACAUCUUUGACGCUGCGUUUUCUCCGUUUUCCUCAUCCACGCGUAAAUGCAAAAACGGAGUUUUCGAAAAUAUCCACCCUGACAGGCAUUUUUAGAAAUCUCCGUUUUUAGUGACCGAAUGUGCACCGAAUGAAUGAAAAAUCACCGGCAAAUGCCCGGUAUGCCCGAUGGCCAGUCCAGCUAUGUAGCCUGCAGUCAUUUUUUAAGC